CUCUUCGAAGCGCUUGCACAGGAGGCUGACAAAUUCCGUCUUGAAGACGCUUUCCAGGAAGCUGUCGGCCGCUUCCUCUUGGAGGAUGAAGAAGUCGUCUUGCCGCGUGCUGAGGCAGCAUAAAGCAGGUGAUGCGUGCUUCCAGCCUUCUGAGAAAAGGCUAAGAGCUGAUGACACCUCACGGAGGGAUUGUUCCUAUGACGGAGAAUGUGCAGUGAGGUUUGUCUUAGAUGUACCAGGACCUGCGGCUAGUCUUGGAUAAGAAAAUUGCUACUUGGAAAAUGAAUCUCAGGCUCAGGGACCCAAUGUGCUCAUGAAUGAAGGAACAAAGGAAGAAGAUAUGAAGGAAGAAAAAAAAAAAAAAAAGAAGAAGAAGAAAGGAAACAGAGACAAAAGGACAUUGUGGAUAAGCCAUGCAUCCUUUUUCCUUCCAGGCACCCAGGUGUGUCUCUGCCUGCCUCCUGGCCACCAAGGACUGUCUAGCUAACUUGGGUUUUUCUGAUCACCUACUACAUGCCAGGCACUGUGCAUUGGAUUUCCAGUCCUGUCUAAUUCUCACCCCUGUCCUGCAGGGCAGCUUUUACUCUCCCCACUUCCCAAAUGGAGGAACUGAGGCUUGGAUGGUGAGGAAACAUGUUCAAGGUCACACAGUGGCCUGGAGAGCAGGACCUGAGCCCAUGCAAGUGAUCCAGAUGUCUGUCUGUCUGUCUGUCCGUCCGUCUGUCUCUGUGACGCACACACUUACUGACUCAGGGUUCUUGACGAAGACCUUGGUGCUCCCCAUCUGGUACUGGUCCUGCUCCAUGUUGACUGCACGCAGCAGGUGCUGCACCCCCUGACGCUCGUCCCCGCGCCACCGUGGCCACGUCUCGGGGGUCAGAAUGGCGUACCUGGUGGCAGAUGGUUUGGGAGGGUUUGGGAGGGCUCAGCUGGUGGUUAUCCUGCAGGUGGCGGCUGGGGCCGGGAAUGGCAGGGCACCUCACCUCUGCAGGAACUUGGCGAACUGGCGGCGAUAGGCAAAGCCUGCCCUGCGCACCCUGAUGUUCUCCUUCAGGCCCAGGUACUCAACCUGGUGCUUGACCCUGGAGGGAAGGCAGCCUGAGUCCCAUGGUGGGGCCUCACCAGUCCUAGGAGGGUCUGGGUGUCUGCUGGAGGCAGUAUGGGGACUGAGGUAGGGGGAGGGGAGUUCACCGCUUGUCCCAGCGAAUCAGUUCUGUGGAGUGGGGGCCUGGGUUCUGGGAGGAGGGGGUCUGUGUUGGUUCCGUGGCCAGUCACUUCUAGAGGGGGGUCUGAGGUCUGGGGGCUGCGCUAGUCUCUGGGUCAUCCUCCAGUCAGUCUGGGGCUGUCCCUGGGGUGGGUGGGGGUCUAGGCUCCAAGGGACUUGGCACUGGCCCCAGAGGUCAGCCUGGGUUAAUCCUGUGAUGUCCUGCGACCCCAGGAGGGUUCCAGAGGAAAGGCCAUUCUCGGGGAUAGGCAGUGUGGAUUGGUCAAGACGGAAGCCAGACCAGCCGGGGGCUCACCUGCUCUCCUCCCAGUCACGGGGCUUCUUGGUCUCGUUGGGUUUGAUGCAGCGGAUAUAGUGGGGCGUGCACUUCUUCAGUGUGGUCACCAGGUCAUUGGCUUGUUUCUGAGGCAGAGGAGAAGGCAGGGAGUGGUGCCCAGACAGGCCCCUCUGCCCUCUUCCUCCUCCCACCCUGGAUAUAGACCCAGGUGACAGAGACACAUUGUGUGUGGACAGGGACUGGCAAGCGUUUGUUGAUGAAGCGCUAAGUCCUCGGAGAAAACAUGUCCCACAGAACACCCCUGCCUAUCCUUCAGAGACCAGUCUUUGCAGGUGGGGAAUCCUGUGUGUGCGCCUUGGGUUGUGCAUUUUAGUUCUCUGUGGAGACUAGAAAGGAAACUGCAGGUGUGGGGACUGGGGGAGAGGGGGGGGGGCAGCAGGAGACCCUGGUGUUGAGCAUGGCUCUGUUGUGUGAUCCGGGCCAGUGACUGCACCUCUUGAGCCUUGGUCUCCCCAUCUGCCAGGUGGGUCUAGUCCCACACCGGUAAAGUAUCCUGUAUUUGCUGUCAGCACUGACAAGUGCUCAGUACAUGGUUAUUAAAUAUUACUAGGCUGUCCUAGCUGGUUUGGCUCAGUGGAUAGAGCGUCAGCCUGCGGACUGAAGGGUUCUGGGUUUGAUUCCGGUCAAGGGCACAUGCCUGGGUUGCAGGCUUGAUCCCCAGUGGGAGGGUGUGUAGGAGGCAGCCAGUCAAUGAUUCUCUCUCUCAUUAUUCAUGUUUCUAUUUCUCUCUACCUCCCCCUUCCUCUCUGAAAUCAAUAAAAAAAAUAGUUAAAAAAUCAUUAGUUGGCCGACACACCCAUGUCCAUGGCAGCACUGUUCACAACAGCUAAAAGGUAGAAACAAUUCAGCGUCCAUCAACAGAGGAAUGGGUAAGAAAAAGCAGUGUAUCCACACAAUGGAAUAUUAUUCUGCUU